GGCGAACGCUGGCGGCGUGCUUAACACAUGCAAGUCGAACGGAAAGGCCCUGCUUUUGUGGGGUGCUCGAGUGGCGAACGGGUGAGUAACACGUGAGUAACCUGUCCUUGACUUUGGGAUAACUUCAGGAAACUGGGGCUAAUACCGGAUAGGAGCUCCUGCUGCAUGGUGGGGGUUGGAAAGUUUCGGCGGUUGGGGAUGGACUCGCGGCUUAUCAGCUUGUUGGUGGGGUAGUGGCUUACCAAGGCUUUGACGGGUAGCCGGCCUGAGAGGGUGACCGGCCACAUUGGGACUGAGAUACGGCCCAGACUCCUACGGGAGGCAGCAGUGGGGAAUAUUGCACAAUGGGCGGAAGCCUGAUGCAGCAACGCCGCGUGCGGGAUGACGGCCUUCGGGUUGUAAACCGCUUUCGCCUGUGACGAAGCGUGAGUGACGGUAAUGGGUAAAGAAGCACCGGCUAACUACGUG
rnacentral:rRNA from 1 species